CAUUACAGAGGUUGCUACAGCUCCCCUGAAAACCAUCGCGAACGCUACCCCAGAAGACAGCCGUUGCCUCGGCGGGCCACCACGCCCGCCGGGGACAGCGGCCCCCACAGGCUCUUUGCAGUUACAGGCCCCUCUGAGUUUGAUUUUACCAAAAUCAGUCAAAACUUUCAACAACGGAUCUCUUGGUUCUGGCAUCGAUGAAGAACGCAGCGAAAUGCGAUAAGUAAUGUGAAUUGCAGAAUUCAGUGAAUCAUCGAAUCUUUGAACGCACAUUGCGCCCGCCAGCACUCUGGCGGGCAUGCCUGUUCGAGCGUCAUUUCAACCAUCAGGCCCCCCCGGGGGCCUGUGCUGGGGCCCUGCGGCUGCCCGCAGGCCCUGAAAACCAGUGGCGGGCUCGCUAGUCACACCGAGCGCAGUAGCACAUCUCGCUCAGGGCGUGCGGCGGGCUCCUGCCGUGAAACCCCCCACUGUAACCCAAAGGUUGACCUCGGAUCAGGUAGGAAUACCCGCUGAACUUAAGCAUAUCAAUAAGCGGAGGAAAAGAAACCAACAGGGAUUGCCCCAGUAACGGCGAGUGAAGCGGCAACAGCUCAAAUUUGAAAUCUGGCCCCCCCCGGGGCCCGAGUUGUAAUUUGUAGAGGAAGCUUUGGGCGCGGCACCCACCGAGUCCCCUGGAACGGGGCGCCAUAGAGGGUGAGAGCCCCGUAGGGUGGGAUGCCCAGCCCCUGUAAAGCUCCUUCGACGAGUCGAGUAGUUUGGGAAUGCUGCUCAAAA
rnacentral:rRNA from 1 species